GUCUAUGGCCAUACCACCCUGAAUGUGCCCAAUCUGGUCUGAUCUCAGAAGCUAACCAAGUUGGGGCCGGGUUAGUACUUGCAUGGGAGAAAUGCCUAUCAGAAUUUGGCAGCUUACC
rnacentral:rRNA from 1 species